GACGAACGCUGGCGGCGUGCCUAAUACAUGCAAGUCGAACGCAGUGGGGACGGGUGAGUAACACGUGGGUAACCUCCCAUCAGAGGGGAUAACACUUGGAAACAGGUGCUAAACCGAUACUGAUGGAUGGACCCGCGGUGCAUUAGCUAGGUGGUGAGGUAACGGCUCACCAAGGCCACGAUGCAUAGCCGACGUUGGAGGAUGAUCGGCCACACUGGAACUGAGACACGGCCCAGUCUCCUACGGGAGGCAGCAGUAGGGAAUUUUCGUGAAUGGACGAAAGUCGGACCGAUCAACGCCGCGUGCGCGAAGAAGGUUUUCGGAUCGUAAAACUCUGUUGUUAGAAAAGCGGUAUCUAACCAGAAAGCCACGGCUAACUACGUGCCAGCAGCCGCGGUAAUAC
rnacentral:rRNA from 1 species